rnacentral:rRNA from 1 species
AGAGUUUGAUCUGGCUCAGGACGAACGCUGGCGGCGUGCUUAACACAUGCAAGUCGAACGGAGAAUUUAUUUCGGUAAAUUUUUAGUGGCGAACGGGUGAGUAACGCGUAGGCAACCUGCCCUUUGGAUGGGGACAACAUUCCGAAAGGAGUGCUAAUACCGAAUGUGAUCCAUUUCUCGCAUGAGAGAUGGAUGAAAGAUGGCCUCUAUUUAUAAGCUAUCGCCAAAGGAUGGGCCUGCGUCUGAUUAGCUAGUUGGUGGGGUAACGGCUCACCAAGGCUGUGAUCAGUAGCCGGUCUGAGAGGAUGAACGGCCACAUUGGGACUGAGACACGGCCCAAACUCCUACGGGAGGCAGCAGUGGGGAAUCUUCCGCAAUGGACGAAAGUCUGACGGAGCAACGCCGCGUGAGUGAUGAAGGUUUUCGGACUGUAAAACUCUGUUGUCAGGGACGAACAUGCGAUCUGCAAAUAGUUGAUCGUAUUGACGGUACCUGACGAGGAAGCCACGGCUAACUACGUGCCAGCAGCCGCGGUAAUACGUAGGUGGCAAGCGUUGUCCGGAAUUAUUGGGCGUAAAGAGCAUGUAGGUGGGCUUUUAAGUCCGAUGUGAAAAUGCGGGGCUCAACCCCGUAUGGCAUUGGAUACUGGAAGUCUUGAGUGCAGGAGAGGAAAGGGGAAUUCCCAGUGUAGCGGUGAAAUGCGUAGAUAUUGGGAGGAACACCAGUGGCGAAGGCGCCUUUCUGGACUGUGUCUGACACUGAGAUGCGAAAGCUAGGGUAGCAAACGGGAUUAGAUACCCCGGUAGUCCUAGCCGUAAACGAUGGGUAAAUGGGUGUCGGGUGGCAAAGCCAUUCAGAGCCGCACUCAACGCAAAUAGUAGUCCACCGUGGGAGUACCUUCGCAGAAAUGAAACUCAAAGGAGUCGACGGGAACCCGCACAAUCAGUGGAGCAUGUGGUUAAAUUCGAAGCAACGCGAAGAACCUUACCUGCCCUUGACAUCCUUUUGACCGGCGAGUAAUGUCGCCUAUCCUUCGGGACAGAAGAGACAGGUGGUGCAUGGUUGUCGUCAGCUCGUGUCGUGAGAUGUUGGGUUAAGUCCCGCAACGAGCGCAACCCUUAUCUUCAGUAGCCAGCAUUUCGGAUGGGCACUCUGGAGAGACUGCCAGGGAUAACCUGGAGGAAGGUGGGGAUGACGUCAAAUCAUCAUGCCCCUUAUGGGCAGGGCUACACACGUGCUACAAUGGCGUAAACAAAGGGAGGCAAAGCCGCGAGGCCGAGCAAAUCUCAAAAAUAACGUCUCAGUUCGGAAAGUAGUCUGCAACUCGACUACAUGAAGCUGGAAUCGCUAGUAAUCGCGAAUCAGAAUGUCGCGGUGAA